UUGUUUAAAAGGGUUCCAGUUAUGUUUUUGUUGUUGUUUUACUAAUUUUGUCCAAUAUAAGAUUGAAUGAUACAUUUUGUAAUGUAACGAUUAAGAGUUAAUCGUGUUCGAAGAUUUGAUUCACAGAAAAUAAUUAGAAUUUUGAUAAGAUCCGCUUUAAGCAUGCUUAUGACGUGAGCACAAAAGUACAAAUUUGUUUUUUUUUUAUAUAUAAAAUGCCAUUAGAUAUGAUCCGUGGCAAAAUACGAGCCAUGCCAUGAGAAAACCAACAUAGUGGCUUUGCGACCAGCUUAUGUGCAGUCUGGUCAGGAUCCAUGCUGUUCGCUAACGGUUUCUCUAAUUGCAAUAGGCUUUGAAAGCGAACAGUAUGGAUCCUGACCAGACUGCACAGAUGCGCAGGCUGGUCUGGAUCCAUGCUGGUUACAAAUGCACUAUGUUGGUUUUCUCGUGGCGUGGCUCAUAUUAUUAUUUCGUUACACUUUCACAAUACUUUAAUAGAUAAGUAUAAAUUUCUUUUUCAGUGAACAAGUUAUUGUGAGAUAGUCUGAUUACUUUGGAGCCGCCAGAUUGUGUAUGAAAUCCUGAACAAAGUAUUUCAACAACUUUUUCAUGAACCACAGAAACUUUACCUUUUUAAAUUGUAGGACCAGACAUUGUGAGAAAGUUUGAUUGCAUUCACUGCCAGAGCUAAAGCUAGAAAAGAAACUAAACAACUUCUUCUCAUGAUCUGCUUAAUUGAUCUUCACAUUGAAUUGUCAACCUGUAUGCUACAUUGUAUAAUGACGUUGAGCAAAUAAAGAUACUGCAGUUAGCGUUACAACCUUCAUUAAACAGAAUGAAUUGGUGUUACAGAAAUGGAUAA